CCUACGCGUGGCAGCAGUGGGGAAUAUUGCACAAUGGGGGAAACCCUGAUGCAGCAACGCCGCGUGAGUGAAGACGUAUUUCGGUAUGUAAAGCUCUAUCAGCAGGGAAGACGAUGACGGUACCUGACCCAGAAGCUCCGGCUAACUACGGGCCAGAAGCCGCGGUAAUACGUAGGGGGCACGCGUUAUCCGGAUUUAGUGGGUGUAAAGGGAGCGCAGACGGCCUUGCAAGUCUGGAGUGAAAGGCCGGGGCCCAACCCCGGAACUGCUCUGGAAACUGUGCGGCUAGAGUACUGGAGGGGCAGGCGGAAUUCCUAGUGUAGCGGUGAAAUGCGUAGAUAUUAGGAGGAACACCAGUGGCGAAGG
rnacentral:rRNA from 1 species